UGCUUUGCCCACAGGGCUGUGUGACCAGCCUCUCUGGACCCUGUUCUAUCUGCAAAACAGACAGUGGCCUGUGAGCCUCACUCAUCAGCGGGAAGUUGGGCGCACUGCAGUAGGAAGAGAUGGGAGUUGAGUCCCUGUGCUGCCCACAACUGGACAGGUGGCCUUGGGCAAGUCUGAAUGAGACUGAAUAAGACUGAAUAACUCGAAUGAGUAGAACGUGUCAGCGGCGCUCUGCUUCAGGCUGAUGUUGGGUGUUUUACAUACAUUGUCAUCUCACUGUUACUCUUGGAGGGAGGUUUUAUUAUUGACUUUAUUUUCCAGAUGAAGUAACUGAGGCUCAGAGAGGUCAAUUCACUUUCUCAAGGACACACAGCUAGGAAAUGAGAGAGUCAGGAUUCAAACCCUGAUCUGCUGGCUUGGAGCCUGAGUCCCUAAAGAAAAAGCAAGUUGAAUGUUUUCAAAAAUAAAACAUUUGAAGCACCUACUAUGUGUAAGACGUCGAGGUAUGUCUAUUCCAAAAAGAAAGAAAGAAAGAAAUUUGCAAAGGAAAGAGCCGGGAGACAGAGACAUAGAAGACUGCAGUGGACUGAGCCAGGAUGGGUGGGUCCAGGCCACCUCUGACUGAUGGCUUUCCGGCGAUUUGAGUGAUGGGCCAUCUGGCAGCACCUUCUCAGAGAUCUACAGGAGCUCCCAUCAGUCCGAUUUCUAGCCCAGUGCAGACCCAUCUGUCCAAUGAACUUGCAGCGUCACCUACUCUGGGCCAGUCACUCUGCCAGCACUGAAGAUGGAGCAGUGAACAAGACAGACCAAGUCUGCCCUCCUGGCGCCUGCAGCCCAGAUGCGAAACACCUGAAAUGGGUAACUCCAGAGAGAAUCGGCUCAUUACGGUGUCACUUCUGCUGAUCCGGGGAUUCAGGCAGGGUCCCAUGGGGAGGGGACUCUUAAGCUGAUAUUAGCAAAAUGAAGAGCGGAAAGCAUGGUUCUAGGCGAGGGGAAUGACAUGCCUGAAGACCCUGGGGCAGAAAGGACAUAAAGCUGUCCAGACUGGAGAGAAGGUCCAAAUGGCUGGAUCUUAGAACCGAAGGUGAAGGGAGGGGAGGAGAAGCUGAGAGGAACCAGAUAUCCAGAGCCUGGGAAUGCUACUCUGAAAGCCUGGAGAGCCAGAGAGGGAAGGAAGUGAUCAAUCAUGCUUGCAUAUUAGAAAGAUCUGUCUGGGGGACAUAAAGGGCAGACUGGGCAGGGAGGUGAGCAGAGAGUGGGAGCUGGGGGCCCAGCCUGGAUUGGGGCAGGGGCAGUGGGCACAGGGUGAAGGGAGCUGACUUCUUGAAGUGGGAAGCUCCUUAGGUCUUGGUAAGUAUUGGGCUUGGGGGUUGGGGAGAAGCAGUCAGCGAUGGCACCUGGGAACUGGGCAGGGUCAGGUGCAUGGCUGGAAGUGAUGGUCAGGGGCAAGUUCCAAAAAGAGGGGAAGCGCCGCGUCCAGCUUGGGCCACCCCAGUCUGCAGCAGUGCCCGGGGACCACAGCACAGUCCUCAGACCCCAGUCCCAGUCUAGACAGCGGCACUCUGGCCCUUUUCUGAUUGUGCCUUUCCUCAUGGGGCCAGGAAUCUGUGAUCUGGGCACCUGAGACCAUGGAAUUCCCUGCUCAAGGCCCCCCAGCCCACUUCCUGGGUCCAUCCUCCUGGGGGUGGUCUGAGCUGCCUGUUUGAGUACCCCAAUUCCUAGGGGUGGCCAAGAGGUGGCUGUUUGCAAUGGGUGUGGGCAGAGUUUACUCAUGCAGGCUGGAGCGUCAGCACCCGAGCUCGUAAAGCCCCUCAUGGAAAAGAGCAAAAGCUGCGCAGAAAGAAAAGAGGAACUGAGUGGAAACCGGAGGCCAGGGCUGCCUCUCCUCGUGCUGCCACUUCCAGCAUGGACCCCAGGGGCCCGAGACUUCUAAUUACAAACCCAGCCUUCCAGGGGUGUUUGUCCUUAGGAAGGUGUAUUUGUCAGGGAAGGAGGACAGAACGUAUUUUAUUUAGUAGUUCGGUAGCUUGAUUUAUAACUUGUAAAUACUUAGACACAAGGUAUGUGGCCUUUGCUUGUGCCCUGCCCUCCAGUGUUGCCCAGAGAGGAGCAGCCGCCCGGGUUCCACAUCGGCGUCGGCUGGCUGACCCUGGACCUGGAGGUCGGCCACAGGGGAUGCUUCAGGCUUCUUCAGAGCUUCCAGACCCAACUUCAUGUGCCUCCACUGCACAUCCAUCCUUUUUUUUUAAAAAAAAUUUAUUUAUUAUUUAUAUUUGGUUGCAUUGGGUCUCUGUUGCGG